rnacentral:lncRNA from 1 species
UGCUUCUCAGAAGUGGGGAUUGUGACACUCUCAUUUCCUGUGGUGUCAUCACAGCGUGAGGCCAGGCCGAGGACAGACUGUCAACACCACCGCUCAGCCCUCCUGCCAGAGCCGACCAGUGGGGGCUGGCCCGGGACUGCUGCCCCCAAAGGCCAGGAUCCGGAGGCUGCAUGCCGAUGAAGACACCCCUUUGGGAACCCACAGACUCUAAGCCCACACCUCGCUCCACCGGAAGGAUACACGUGGCCAGACAUGUGGGCCAAAUUCUGGCAGAAUAUCAAAGAAUUCAUACAGCAGAGGAAAUCUCUGAAUAUUCUGAGGCCACAGUGUUUCCUCGUCGUCCCUCCUCCUUCCCCCUCUUUCUUCAGUAAAGUCUCGGCCUUGUGUCUUCACACGUGCCCAACCUGUCACGGGAGUCGUCCAAUGGCAGGAGGCCCCUGCCCAUCAACGGGCUGGCGACCACUUUACACGUUUGACAACUGGCAAACACGCCGCAGGGGAGGACGCGGUGACUGGUUCAUUCAUUCAACAAGUGUCUUCUCAGCUUCUACUCUGCUCUGUAGCUGACAUUAACAUUUGUGCUGGGGAUAAGGGACAGGGAGGAAGGAGGUGUCAGCAACAAGUGGCUUGGACAACCUCGGGGAAGAGAGAGGGGAUCAGGAAGACAGUGGCACCUUUUGGACUGCAGGGGUGUCUGUGGCCCAAGGCUUCGGAGGGGGCGUAGGAGAGAGCGCGGGGAAGGGAGGGAGAAAGAACGCGGGCGUAAUGGCUGUUCACCACAUGUCGAGCUGGCCCGGGGUUUCUCAGAGCAACGGCCUGGGACCUGUUAUCUCCACUUUGUAAAUAAAGAAAAUAAGGUGCGUGCACAGCUAUUAAGUGGCAGAGUACUUGAAGCUCAGUCCAUCUCGCUCCAAACCCCACUGUCUGCCCCACACAAGGGAGGGAACUGGGCCAUUAGUGUGCGAUUCCUCCGGCUGUUUCCAGAGUUGUAGGGACAAUGAGAGGCACCUGGCGAACUGGGAGGGCAAGGGGACAGAAGGAGAGAAGGGGACGGCUUUCGGAGACUCUACUUCAGGGACCAGGGAAAGGCACACUCCUUCAUUCCUGCAUUCACUCAUUCAUGCGCCCAUUUAGCAGAUCUUCAUUGAGCCCUGCGGAGCGCCGGGAAGGGUGCGUCCGUGCUGGGGACACGAGUAAGACUGACACGGUCCCUGCCCUCCUGGAACUUCUACUCUAGAAGGAGGCAGACAACCCAGCAUGCUACGAGUUCUGAAAGAACUCCUGGGCCCCAGGAAGCAGAGAAGAGAAUCCCGUAUCCCAGACUCGCGGGGUUGGGAGCGACUCCCG